UACGGAGGUGGCUAGCGUUAUUCGGAAUUAUUGGGCGUAAAGCGCACGUAGGCGGCUUUGUAAGUUAGAUGUGAAAGCCUGGAGCUCAACUCCGGAAUUGCCUUUAAGACUGCAUCGCUCGAAUCCGGGAGAGGUGAGUGGAAUUCCGAGUGUAGAGGUGAAAUUCGUAGAUAUUCGGAAGAACACCAGUGGCGAAGGCGGCUCACUGGACCGGAAUUGACGCUGAGGUUCGAAAGCAUGGGGAGCAAACAGG
rnacentral:rRNA from 1 species